UACAGAGGGGGCAAGCGUUAUUCGGAAUUAUUGGGCGUAAAGGGCGCGUAGGCGGCUUUUCAAGUGACGGGUGAAAUCCCUCGGCUUAACCGAGGAACUGCCUGUCAGACUGGAAGGCUUGAGACCGGGAGAGGUGAGUGGAAUUCCCAGUGUAGCGGUGAAAUGCGUAGAUAUUGGGAGGAACACCGGUGGCGAAGGCGGCCCCCUGGACCGGUACUGACGCUGAGGCGCGAAAGCGUGGGUAGCAAACGGG
rnacentral:rRNA from 1 species